UGCCCCGUGGUGUAAUCCGGUAGCACAUCUGAUUCUGGAUCGGUCAGUCUAGGUUCGAGUCCUGGCGGGGCAG
rnacentral:tRNA from 1 species